rnacentral:rRNA from 1 species
UACGUAGGGUGCAAGCGUUGUCCGGAAUUAUUGGGCGUAAAGAGCUUGUAGGCGGUUUGUCGCGUCUGCUGUGAAAUUUCGGGGCUCAACCCCGAACUUGCAGUGGGUACGGGCAGACUAGAGUGUGGUAGGGGAGACUGGAAUUCCUGGUGUAGCGGUGAAAUGCGCAGAUAUCAGGAGGAACACCGGUGGCGAAGGCGGCAUCCUGGACCGACACUGACGCUGAGGAGCGAAAGCCAGGGGAGCAAACGGG